rnacentral:rRNA from 1 species
UUAAGCGACUAAGCGUACACGGUGGAUGCCCUGGCAGUCAGAGGCGAUGAAGGACGUGCUAAUCUGCGAAAAGCGUCGGUAAGGUGAUAUGAACCGUUAUAACCGGCGAUGUCCGAAUGGGGAAACCCAGUGUGAUUCGUCACACUAUCGUUAACUGAAUACAUAGGUUAACGAGGCGAACCGGGGGAACUGAAACAUCUAAGUACCCCGAGGAAAAGAAAUCAACCGAGAUUCCCCCAGUAGCGGCGAGCGAACGGGGAGCAGCCCAGAGUCUGAAUCAGCUUGUGUGUUAGUGGAACGGUCUGGAAAGUCCGACGGUACAGGGUGAUAGUCCCGUACACCAAAAUGCACAGGCUGUGAACUCGAAGAGUAGGGCGGGACACGUGGUAUCCUGUCUGAAUAUGGGGGGACCAUCCUCCAAGGCUAAAUACUCCUGACUGACCGAUAGUGAACCAGUACCGUGAGGGAAAGGCGAAAAGAACCCCGGCGAGGGGAGUGAAAAAGAACCUGAAACCGUGUACGUACAAGCAGUGGGAGCACCUUCGGGUGUGACUGCGUACCUUUUGUAUAAUGGGUCAGCGACUUAUAUUCUGUAGCAAGGUUAACCGUAUAGGGGAGCCGCAGGGAAACCGAGUCUUAACUGGGCGUUAAGUUGCAGGGUAUAGACCCGAAACCCGGUGAUCUAGCCAUGGGCAGGUUGAAGGUUGGGUAACACUAACUGGAGGACCGAACCGACUAAUGUUGAAAAAUUAGCGGAUGACUUGUGGCUGGGGGUGAAAGGCCAAUCAAACCGGGAGAUAGCUGGUUCUCCCCGAAAGCUAUUUAGGUAGCGCCUCGUGAACUCAUCUUCGGGGGUAGAGCACUGUUUCGGCUAGGGGGUCAUCCCGACUUACCAACCCGAUGCAAACUACGAAUACCGAAGAAUGUUAUCACGGGAGACACACGGCGGGUGCUAACGUCCGUCGUGAAGAGGGAAACAACCCAGACCGCCAGCUAAGGUCCCAAAGUCAUGGUUAAGUGGGAAACGAUGUGGGAAGGCACAGACAGCCAGGAUGUUGGCUUAGAAGCAGCCAUCAUUUAAAGAAAGCGUAAUAGCUCACUGGUCGAGUCGGCCUGCGCGGAAGAUGUAACGGGGCUAAACCAUGCACCGAAGCUGCGGCAGCGACACUAUGUGUUGUUGGGUAGGGGAGCGUUCUGUAAGCCUGCGAAGGUGACCUGUGAGGGUUGCUGGAGGUAUCAGAAGUGCGAAUGCUGACAUAAGUAACGAUAAAGCGGGUGAAAAGCCCGCUCGCCGGAAGACCAAGGGUUCCUGUCCAACGUUAAUCGGGGCAGGGUGAGUCGACCCCUAAGGCGAGGCCGAAAGGCGUAGUCGAUGGGAAACAGGUUAAUAUUCCUGUACUUGGUGUUACUGCGAAGGGGGGACGGAGAAGGCUAUGUUAGCCGGGCGACGGUUGUCCCGGUUUAAGCAUGUAGGCUGGUUGUCCAGGCAAAUCCGGAUAAUCAAGGCUGAGGUGUGAUGACGAGGCACUACGGUGCUGAAGUAACAAAUGCCCUGCUUCCAGGAAAAGCCUCUAAGCAUCAGGUAACAUUAAAUCGUACCCCAAACCGACACAGGUGGUCAGGUAGAGAAUACCAAGGCGCUUGAGAGAACUCGGGUGAAGGAACUAGGCAAAAUGGUGCCGUAACUUCGGGAGAAGGCACGCUGGUGUGUAGGUGAAGCCCCUGCGGGUGGAGCUGAGACCAGUCGAAGAUACCAGCUGGCUGCAACUGUUUAUUAAAAACACAGCACUGUGCAAACACGAAAGUGGACGUAUACGGUGUGACGCCUGCCCGGUGCCGGAAGGUUAAUUGAUGGGGUUAUCCGUAAGGAGAAGCUCUUGAUCGAAGCCCCGGUAAACGGCGGCCGUAACUAUAACGGUCCUAAGGUAGCGAAAUUCCUUGUCGGGUAAGUUCCGACCUGCACGAAUGGCGUAAUGAUGGCCAGGCUGUCUCCACCCGAGACUCAGUGAAAUUGAACUCGCUGUGAAGAUGCAGUGUACCCGCGGCAAGACGGAAAGACCCCGUGAACCUUUACUAUAGCUUGACACUGAACAUUGAGCCUUGAUGUGUAGGAUAGGUGGGAGGCUUUGAAGCGUGGACGCCAGUCUGCGUGGAGCCAACCUUGAAAUACCACCCUUUAAUGUUUGAUGUUCUAACGUUGGCCCCUUACCGGGGUUGCGGACAGUGUCUGGUGGGUAGUUUGACUGGGGCGGUCUCCUCCCAAAGCGUAACGGAGGAGCACGAAGGUUAGCUAAUCCUGGUCGGACAUCAGGAGGUUAGUGCAAUGGCAUAAGCUAGCUUGACUGCGAGCGUGACGGCGCGAGCAGGUGCGAAAGCAGGUCAUAGUGAUCCGGUGGUUCUGAAUGGAAGGGCCAUCGCUCAACGGAUAAAAGGUACUCCGGGGAUAACAGGCUGAUACCGCCCAAGAGUUCAUAUCGACGGCGGUGUUUGGCACCUCGAUGUCGGCUCAUCACAUCCUGGGGCUGAAGUAGGUCCCAAGGGUAUGGCUGUUCGCCAUUUAAAGUGGUACGCGAGCUGGGUUUAGAACGUCGUGAGACAGUUCGGUCCCUAUCUGCCGUGGGCGCUGGAGAAUUGAGGGGGGCUGCUCCUAGUACGAGAGGACCGGAGUGGACGCAUCACUGGUGUUCGGGUUGUCAUGCCAAUGGCACUGCCCGGUAGCUAAAUGCGGAAGAGAUAAGUGCUGAAAGCAUCUAAGCACGAAACUUGCCCCGAGAUGAGUUCUCCCUGAGACUUUAAGUCUCCUGAAGGAACGUUGAAGACGACGACGUUGAUAGGCCGGGUGUGUAAGCGCAGCGAUGCGUUGAGCUAACCGGUACUAAUGAACCGUGAGGCUUAACCUU